rnacentral:rRNA from 1 species
CCUACGGGAGGCAGCAGUGAGGAAUAUUGGUCAAUGGGCGAGAGCCUGAAGCAGCCAAGUCGCGUGAAGGAUGACGGCCCUACGGGUUGUAAACUUCUUUUGUCAGGGAGCAAUUGGGUCCACGCGUGGGCUUAGCGAGAGUACCUGAAGAAAAAGCAUCGGCUAACUCCGUGCCAGCAGCCGCGGUAAUACGGAGGAUGCGAGCGUUAUCCCGAUUUAUUGGGUUGAAGGGGUGCGUAGGCGGAAUAGCAAGUCAACGGAAAAAAUUCGGGGCUCAACCCCGUCGUGCCGUUGAAACGGAUGUUCUGGAGUGGGCGAGAGGUAUGCGGAAUGCGUGGGGGAGCGGUGAAAUGCA